rnacentral:rRNA from 1 species
GAUGAACGCUGGCGGCGUGCCUAAUACAUGCAAGUAGAACGCUGAAGGAAGGAGCUUGCUCUUUCCGGAUGAGUUGCGAACGGGUGAGUAACGCGUAGGUAACCUGCCUGGUAGCGGGGGAUAACUAUUGGAAACGAUAGCUAAUACCGCAUAACAGUAGAUGUUGCAUGAUAUCUACUUAAAAGGUGCAAUUGCACCACUACCAGAUGGACCUGCGUUGUAUUAGCUAGUUGGUGAGGUAACGGCCCACCAAGGCGACGAUACAUAGCCGACCUGAGAGGGUGAUCGGCCACACUGGGACUGAGACACGGCCCAGACUCCUACGGGAGGCAGCAGUAGGGAAUCUUCGGCAAUGGACGGAAGUCUGACCGAGCAACGCCGCGUGAGUGAAGAAGGUUUUCGGAUCGUAAAGCUCUGUUGUAAGAGAAGAACGAGUGUGAGAGUGGAAAGUUCACACUGUGACGGUAUCUAACCAGAAAGCGACGGCUAACUACGUG